rnacentral:rRNA from 1 species
UCUGGCUCAGAUUGAACGCUGGCGGCAGGCCUAACACAUGCAAGUCGAGCGGAUGACGGGAGCUUGCUCCCUGAUUCAGCGGCGGACGGGUGAGUAAUGCCUAGGAAUCUGCCUGGUAGUGGGGGACAACGUCUCGAAAGGGACGCUAAUACCGCAUACGUCCUACGGGAGAAAGCAGGGGACCUUCGGGCCUUGCGCUAUCAGAUGAGCCUAGGUCGGAUUAGCUAGUUGGUGAGGUAAUGGCUCACCAAGGCGACGAUCCGUAACUGGUCUGAGAGGAUGAUCAGUCACACUGGAACUGAGACACGGUCCAGACUCCUACGGGAGGCAGCAGUGGGGAAUAUUGGACAAUGGGCGAAAGCCUGAUCCAGCCAUGCCGCGUGUGUGAAGAAGGUCUUCGGAUUGUAAAGCACUUUAAGUUGGGAGGAAGGGCAUUAACCUAAUACGUUAGUGUUUUGACGGGCCG